rnacentral:rRNA from 1 species
UACAGAGGUCUCAAGCGUUGUUCGGAUUCAUUGGGCUUAAAGGGCGCGUAGGCGGCUUGCCAAGUCAGGGGUGAAAUCUUUCGGCUUAACCGGAAAAGUGCCUUUGAUACUGGCGAGCUAGAGGGAGGUAGGGGUGCGUGGAACUUCUGGUGGAGCGGUGAAAUGCGUAGAUAUAAGAAGGAACACCAGUGGCGAAGGCGACCACCUGGACUGAUACUGACACUGAGGUGCGAAAGCGUGGGGAUCAAACAGG